rnacentral:lncRNA from 1 species
ACUGGGGCUUCAUCUCGCUGGCAGUGACAGGCACUACUGCGGAUCGGGGAGCCCAGAGCAUGGGAGCAGCUUCUGCCUGGCUCAGCUGCCGGAGAACGAGGCCACCAACCCCUCCGAGUACGUGUUCAGCUUCCACCUGGAGAUCCAGGGACCGUGCUUGCUGGYGGAUAGGACUACUGGGGCCAGGCCAUGUUACCACUGCCUCCAGGCCAUCUCCACGCUCUUGCUGCUUCCCUGCUCCCCAGAUGUGGAGCCCUUUUUGGCACUUUAACUGUGCUGGGGAGGAUUCACCAGCACAGCGCUGGUGGCAUCCCACCCCUUCCYACACUGGUUGCACCUCUCUGGCCAUUGCAUGUCUGCAGCUGAUGCUCUCGUGCACCAUCCAGGCAGGGGUUAAUGCGGGCAACCUGCGAUCGGGCUGUUGGUGCUCCAGAAGCGUUGCGCAGCCCACUUGGUUCCUGUUCUCAGGCGUCUGUCCUUUGCCAUCUUCCCUCGCUGUCUCCUCUCUCCGAUCUCCCCCGCCCUCAGCCUCUAACUGCACCUCGGUUUCCCCAGGCAGGUGUCGAGAGCCCCACGCAUGAGCUCCRAGCAGAUGCCGACCCCUCCGCUUGCUCCGCCAAGAGCGUCAUGAUCACGCUGGCCAGUAAGCCCGCUUUCAACAGACCAGUGGAGAUCCUGAUCCAUCCAAGCGGUAGGUGGGCUCUGCUUGCUCUCUGCUGCUCUUGCCCCUUCCUCGGACCCUGUCCCGUAGCGCUGGAGACAGGUGGAAUUAGCUCUGGUUUGGAGAUGUCAGGCAAACGUGGUSGUUGGGCCUUCUGUGGGAUAAACCAGACCCCUCCAGUUUGCCUGUGCUGGCCCCAAACCCAGCGUUACUGCUGUGCCUUUGCAAUUGCGGGUGCCUGCAUCUCCUGCAAAUCUGAAGUUCAACCAAGGCUGUCCUUCACUCGAUCCUCUGCAUUUCCAGAGCCCUACAUGCCUCAUAUUUUAAUGGAAGAUGGCGAUAUGACACCUGCGGAGUACGACCAACWCCUGAAGGGGAAGAAUGAUUUAAUUAAAGGCACUGAGAAGGACCCCAGUGCUGAGAAAAAGACCGAAAUCCUCCGGAAGCAGGAACAAGGAUCUUCCCCACCACCCCGUCAUCGUGCUCAACUUCUGCCCUGA